rnacentral:lncRNA from 1 species
AAAAGUGAUACACUUCCCUCUUACAAACACUUUACAAAAUUCCUUGUUGUUUUUAUCAACAAUAUCUUCAGGAAUGUUGACAACAAAUUCCUUUACCAAUCCUUCAUAGCACUGAGAUAACCUAGCCACAGUCUUCAUUAAUCCAGCAUUUUUAAUUAGGUCCAUGACCUCCUUGACCUCCACAGCAUCCUUGCCUAACUCUC